ACAGAGGGUGCGAGCGUUAAUCGGAUUUACUGGGCGUAAAGGGCGCGUAGGCGGUGAGAUGUGUGUGAUGUGAAAGCCCCGGGCUCAACCUGGGAAGUGCAUCGCAAACUGUCUGACUGGAGUAUAUGAGAGGGUGGCGGAAUUUCCGGUGUAGCGGUGAAAUGCGUAGAGAUCGGAAGGAACGUCGAUGGCGAAGGCAGCCACCUGGCAUAAUACUGACGCUGAGGCGCGAAAGCGUGGGGAUCGAACAGGAUUAGAUACCCUGGUAGUCCACGCUGUAAACUAUGAGUACUAGAUGUUGGUAGGGGAACCUAUCGGUAUCGAAGCUAACGCGAUAAGUAUUCCGCCUGGGAAGUACGGCCGCAAGGUUG
rnacentral:rRNA from 1 species